GUCUUUGUGGCUCAGUUGGUUAGGUAAGAACAUCAGAAUCACAAUCCAAAGGUCGAGAGUUCGAGUCUCUCCAAGGACA
rnacentral:tRNA from 1 species